UGGGGAAUAUUGCACAAUGGGCGCAAGCCUGAUGCAGCCAUGCCGCGUGUGUGAAGAAGGCCUUCGGGUUGUAAAGCACUUUCAGCGGGGAGGAAGGCGGUGAGGUUAAUAACCUCAUCGAUUGACGUUACCCGCAGAAGAAGCACCGGCUAACUCCGUGCCAGCAGCCGCGGUAAUACGGAGGGUGCAAGCGUUAAUCGGAAUUACUGGGCGUAAAGCGCACGCAGGCGGUCUGUCAAGUCGGAUGUGAAAUCCCCGGGCUCAACCUGGGAACUGCAUUCGAAACUGGCAGGCUAGAGUCUUGUAGAGGGUGGUAGAAUUCCAUGUGUAGCGGUGAAAUGCGUAGAGAUGUGGAGGAAUACCGGUGGCGAAGGCAGCCCCCUGGACAAAUACUGACGCUCAGGUGCGAAAGCGUGGGGAGCAAACAGG
rnacentral:rRNA from 1 species